UACUCCCCACUACCUAAAAUCCCUAAAUCGUUCUCCUUUCUUUGUACUCCUCUCCUUUAUACUAUCUCCUAAAAAUCCUAAAUCUUCUCCUGUACUCCUCUUCUCCCUUCUGAUCUAACGUGCAGAGAGUGAAAGUAACGAUUUGUAGUGAGAGAAAUCCCAGAAAUCGAACUCCGGCGAAAAUCCGAAUCUCCGGCGAACCAGGUCUGAGUUAUGGUGAAAAUCCGAAUCUCCAGAGGAAGAUGGUGACGGUGGUGAUGACCUAAAGAGGAACGAUGACAGCGGUGAUGGCCUAAGAGGAGUUGUGAGUUAUUUCUUUUCGUAUGUGUUGAUUUGUUUGUGUUUUGAUAUUGCUAGAUGAAGGUUGAGAUAUUACUGUGUGUGAUUGUGGUUGAUUUGUUGUGUUUUUGGAGUAGAUUAGGGUUUAUGUGAGUUUUAAUGUUAACUUUGUUAGUUUAUUUCAUUUUACCGGCAUUGAGUUUGUAAAUGCAGAGAGUUUAGAAUGGAUAUGAGAUUUCUUAUGUGUUGUAGGUGAUUUGUUAAUGUUGUAUGUGUUUGGGGUAUCUCAUUCUGGUUAUGAAUAAAGUAAUAAAGCUAAAGACGCCUGUUAGAAAGUUAGUUUUAGUUUCCAUCUUCUUGGAUGGUGGUUGAUGAAUAUAAUAAAUUUAGUAAUGUUUUGGUCUUAAAGUAUAUAGAUCUGAGGAUUUGAUCAUAUUGUUUGUCUGUCCUUUUUGGUAUGGAUUAUACUUUUAUAUAAGCUACGUAUAGCUUUUUGCAUUUAUAUUUGUAUUUUUGUUGACAUCUUUGAUUCGACAUUAUGUUAACAAUUUAAUGUCUUUGGCUCUUUGCAUGUUUGAUCUACACUCACUUUUCAAAGGUUUUUCUUCGGUUCAUAUAUAUAUGCUGGAAUUUUACAUCAGGUAGGAAAUUUUACAUCUCCAGGUGGAUAGGUAACGUGUCGUUCGGAGGGGAUAGGUAAUGGGUCAAAAUGGAAAGAGUUUAGGGUAUAGGGAGUGGUUAAACACUUUAAAGUGGCAAACCAAAAAACCGACCAAUGAGAGCGCGCCAU